AGACCCAAUUCAACCACGCUCUACCGUCUCCUGCUCGGUCUCGCUCCUCUCUCUCUCUCUCUUCUCCUCCCACUCCGACCUCGAUCUUCGAGUCCCCGUGCAAGGAUCACGGCAAGAGCGACGCCUCCGUGAAGGAGAAGCUCGCCCGCUUCCGAUCCUUCGAGGACGACAGCUCCUUCGUCGACGAGCACAACGCGGCUGCCAAUUCCUCCUCCACCCUCGCUCUCAAUGCAGUCGCCGGUCUCAUCCACCAUGAGUUCCAGCUCACUUGCUUGGGGCUCAGCGCCCGGCUCGCCACGCCCUGGGAUAACCGGAAGGCGUUUCGGGGAGUUCUUGGCGAUGUUCCGGACUCGAUUGAUUGGUGGAAGGAGGGGCUGUGACCCAUGUUAAGGAUCAGGGCAGCUGCGCAUAGUUUGCAGGACAUAAGAGUUUCCAUAGCUAUACUCAAGUUGAGAGUGCCGCUCUUGGUUGCCAGAUUCAACAAUGAUUUGGAUUUCUCACAGCAACUUGUUAGAUCUAUUGGAGCCCUAUCCAGUUAAUAUAUGUCAAUCUCCAUUGCUAGAUUUGUCACACUAUAACAUUUUUCAAUAGCAAAACAUUGCUAGAUUUCUUUCU